UCCGUAGCUGGUCUGAGAGGACGAUCAGCCACACUGGAACUGAGACACGGUCCAGACUCCUACGGGAGGCAGCAGUGGGGAAUUUUGGACAAUGGGCGCAAGCCUGAUCCAGCCAUGCCGCGUGAGUGAAGAAGGCCUUCGGGUUGUAAAGCUCUUUCGGUGAAGACGAAACGGUUAGCGCUAAUAACGCUGACUAAUGACGGUACUCACAGAAGAAGCACCGGCUAACUACGUGCCAGCAGCCGCGGUAAUACGUAGGGUGCAGGCGUUAAUCGGAAUUACUGGGCGUAAAGCGUGCGCAGGCGGUUUGCUAAGACAGGUGUGAAAUCCCCGAGCUUAACUUGGGAAUUGCGCUUGUAACUGGCAAGCUAGAGUGUGGCAGAGGGGGGUGGAAUUCCACGUGUAGCAGUGAAAUGCGUAGAUAUGUGGAGGAACACCGAUGGCGAAGGCAGCCCCCUGGGUUAACACUGACGCUCAUGCACGAAAGCGUGGGGAGCAAACAGGAUUAGAUACCCUGGUAGUCCACGCCCUAAACUAUGUCAACUAGUUGUCGGGGAAGAAAUUCCUUGGUAACGAAGCUAACGCGUGAAGUUGACCGCCUGGGGAGUACGGCCGCAAGGUUAAAACUCAAAGGAAUUGACGGGGACCCGCACAAGCGGUGGAUUAUGUGGAUUAAUUCGAUGCAACGCGAAAAACCUUACCUACCCUUGACAUGCUAGGAAGCCCGCAGAGAUGUGGGUGUGCCCGAAAGGGAACCUAGACACAGGUGCUGCAUGGCUGUCGUCAGCUCGUGUCGUGAGAUGUUGGGUUAAGUCCCGCAACGAGCGCAACCCUUGCCAUUAGUUGCUACAUUUAGUUGGGCACUCUAAUGGGACCGCCGGUGACAAACCGGAGGAAGGUGGGGAUGACGUCAAGUCCUCAUGGCCCUUAUGGGUAGGGCUUCACACGUAAUACAAUGGUCGGUACAGAGGGCUGCCAACCCGCAAGGGGGAGCUAAUCCCAGAAAGCCGAUCGUAGUCCGGAUUGUAGUCUGCAACUCGACUGCAUGAAGCCGGAAUCGCUAGUAAUCGCGGAUCAGCAUGUCGCGGUGAAUACGUUCCCGGGUCUUGUACACACCGCCCGUCACACCAUGGGAGUGGGUUCCACCAGAAGUAGUUAGCCUAACCGCAAGGAGGGCGAUUACCACGGUGAGAUUCAUGACUGGGGUGAAGUCGUAACAAGGUA
rnacentral:rRNA from 1 species